GAAAGAUUCAUCGGAAGAGGAUGGGCAUGCGGCGCAUUAGCUAGACGGCGGGGUAACGGCCCACCGUGGCGACGAUGCGUAGGGGUUCUGAGAGGAAGGUCCCCCACACUGGUACUGAGACACGGACCAGACUCCUACGGGAGGCAGCAGUGAGGAAUAUUGGUCAAUGGGAGAGAUCCUGAACCAGCCAAGCCGCGUGAGGGAAGACGGCCCUAUGGGUUGUAAACCUCUUUUGUCGGAGAACAAAACCCGGGACGUGUCCCGGACUGCGUGUAUCCGAAGAAAAAGCAUCGGCUAACUCCGUGCCAGCAGCCGCGGUAAUACGGAGGAUGCGAGCGUUAUCCGGAUUUAUUGGGUUUAAAGGGUGCGUAGGCGGUCCGUUAAGUCAGCGGUAAAAUUGCGGGGCUCAACCCCGUCGAGCCGUUGAAACUGGCAGACUUGAGUUGGCGAGAAGUACGCGGAAUGCGCGGUGUAGCGGUGAAAUGCAUAGAUAUCGCGCAGAACUCCGAUUGCGAAGGCAGCGUACCGGCGCCAGACUGACGCUGAGGCACGAAAGUGUGGGGAUCGAACAGGAUUAGAUACCCUGGUAGUCCACGCAGUAAACGA
rnacentral:rRNA from 1 species